rnacentral:rRNA from 1 species
GACGAACGCUGGCGGCGUGCUUAACACAUGCAAGUCGAACGAAGAGCGAUGGAAGCUUGCCUCUAUCAAUCUUAGUGGCGAACGGGUGAGUAACGCGUAAUCAACCUGCCCUUCAGAGGGGGACAACAGUUGGAAACGACUGCUAAUACCGCAUACGAUCUAAUCUCGGCAUCGAGGAUAGAUGAAAGGUGGCCUCUACAUGUAAGCUAUCACUGAAGGAGGGGAUUGCGUCUGAUUAGCUAGUUGGAGGGGUAACGGCCCACCAAGGCGAUGAUCAGUAGCCGGUCUGAGAGGAUGAACGGCCACAUUGGGACUGAGACACGGCCCAGACUCCUACGGGAGGCAGCAGUGGGGAAUCUUCCGCAAUGGACGAAAGUCUGACGGAGCAACGCCGCGUGAGUGAUGACGGCCUUCGGGUUGUAAAGCUCUGUUAAUCGGGACGAAAGGCCUUCUUGCGAAUAGUGAGAAGGAUUGACGGUACCGGAAUAGAAAGCCACGGCUAACUACGUG